UACGGGGGGGGCAAGCGUUGUUCGGAAUUACUGGGCGUAAAGGGCUCGUAGGUGGCCAACUAAGUCAGACGUGAAAUCCCUCGGCUUAACCGGGGAACUGCGUCUGAUACUGGAUGGCUUGAGUUCGGGAGAGGGAUGCGGAAUUCCAGGUGUGGCGGUGAAAUGCGUAGAUAUCUGGAGGAACACCGGUGGCGGAGGCGGCAUCCUGGACCGACACUGACGCUGAUGAGCGAAAGCCAGGGGAGCAAACGGG
rnacentral:rRNA from 1 species